GAUGAACGCUGGCGGCGUGCCUAAUACAUGCAAGUCGAGCGAACAGACGAGGAGCUUGCUCCUCUGACGUUAGCGGCGGACGGGUGAGUAACACGUGGAUAACCUACCUAUAAGACGGGGAUAACUUCGGGAAACCGGAGCUAAUACCGGAUAAUAUAUUGAACCGCAUGGUUCAAUAGUGAAAGACAGUUUUGGUGUCACUUAUAGAUGAAUCCGGGCCGGAUUGGCUAGUUGGUAAGGUAACGGCUUACCAAGGCGACGAUGCGUAGCCGACCUGAGAGGGUGAUCGGCCACACUGGAACUGAGACACGGUCCAGACUCCUACGGGAGGCAGCAGUAGGGAAUCUUCCGCAAUGGGCGAAAGCCUGACGGAGCAACGCCGCGUGAGUGAUGAAGGUCUUCGGAUCGUAAAACUCUGUUAUUAGGGAAGAACAAAUGUGUAAGUAACUAUGCACGUCUUGACGGUACCUAAUCAGAAAGCCACGGCUAACUACGUG
rnacentral:rRNA from 1 species